UAAAUCAGAGUUUUUACAUUAACAAUCGAAUAACGUGGGAUGAUAACAUAAUAAUGUAUGAUGACGGUCCAUUAUUGGUAUACAUAAAAAGUUGAUUUAGAUGACACCGAAUUGGGAUGUACAUCAACCUCUUGUCAUUGAUGAAAUGAUGGCUUGUAUCAGCAUUAAUCACAAUGGAACUUGGAAAACAGAUUAUUGUGGAGAAUAUAAAAUUCCGGUGUGUUCUAGCAAAGAUUCGACCUACACAACUAGCAGAAGCACUGCUCGAAAAGCAGGAAUGGGAGUUGGGAUAUUUAUUGCAAUAGCUGCAAUUGUGGGAAUUUCAGUUGGAUUAUUUAUAUUUCUUCGG
rnacentral:lncRNA from 1 species